GUAUAUUUAGCCUAGCGGUUAAGGUUUUGGAUCGCCAAUCCGGAGACGGCGGGUUCGAUUCCUGUUCCAUUCG
rnacentral:tRNA from 1 species